GGAAUUUUGGACAAUGGGCGAAAGCCUGAUCCAGCAAUGCCGCGUGCAGGAUGAAGGCCUUCGGGUUGUAAACUGCUUUUGUACGGAACGAAAAAGCUCCUUCUAAUACAGGGGGCCCAUGACGGUACCGUAAGAAUAAGCACCGGCUAACUACGUGCCAGCAGCCGCGGUAAUACGUAGGGUGCGAGCGUUAAUCGGAAUUACUGGGCGUAAAGCGUGCGCAGGCGGUUAUGUAAGACAGAUGUGAAAUCCCCGGGCUCAACCUGGGAACUGCAUUUGUGACUGCAUGGCUAGAGUACGGUAGAGGGGGAUGGAAUUCCGCGUGUAGCAGUGAAAUGCGUAGAUAUGCGGAGGAACACCGAUGGCGAAGGCAAUCCCCUGGACCUGUACUGACGCUCAUGCACGAAAGCGUGGGGAGCAAACAG
rnacentral:rRNA from 1 species